AAGUAAAGACUAUAGAUUGCGAUCACCUCUAUAGUUCACUACUAAGGAAGUUUCUCUGAAUGUGUAAAGCACCAUGAGCAGGAGGUGCAACAUUCUCUCCUGAGUGUGAAGCUGGCUCUCGGUGUUGCUUCACUGCAACAGCCAUUGGCCAUUGAUGAUCGGUCUUCUCUUCCUGGAAAAUAGGGAGAGGAUAUAGUCUGAGUGGU
rnacentral:snoRNA from 1 species